rnacentral:rRNA from 1 species
UACGAAGGGGGCUAGCGUUGUUCGGAAUUACUGGGCGUAAAGCGCACGUAGGCGGGUUUGUAAGUAGGGGGUGAAAUCCCAGAGCUCAACUCUGGAACUGCCUUCUAAACUGCAAGCCUGGAGGUCAGGAGAGGCGAGUGGAAUACCGAGUGUAGAGGUGAAAUUCGUAGAUAUUCGGUGGAACACCAGUGGCGAAGGCGGCUGACUGGUCCGGAUCUGACGCUGAGGCGCGAAAGCGUGGGGAGCAAACAGG